CCUACGGGUGGCUGCAGUAGGGAAUUUUCCACAAUGGGCGAAAGCCUGAUGGAGCAACGCCGCGUGCAGGAUGAAUGCCUUCGGGUUGUAAACUGCUUUUGUUUGUGACGAUUAUGACGGUAACAAGCGAAUAAGGGUCUGCUAACUACGUGCCAGCAGCCGCGGUCAUACGUAGGACCCAAGCGUUAUCCGGAAUUACUGGGCGUAAAGAGUUGCGUAGGUGGCACAGUAAGUUAGCAGUGAAAGCGUGUGGCUCAACCAUACAUACAUUGCUA
rnacentral:rRNA from 1 species